UACGGAGGGGGCUAGCGUUGUUCGGAAUUACUGGGCGUAAAGCGCACGUAGGCGGCUUUGUAAGUUAGAGGUGAAAGCCCGGGGCUCAACUCCGGAAUUGCCUUUAAAACUGCAAAGCUAGAAUCAUGGAGAGGUGAGUGGAAUUCCGAGUGUAGAGGUGAAAUUCGUAGAUAUUCGGAAGAACACCAGUGGCGAAGGCGACUCACUGGACAUGUAUUGACGCUGAGGUGCGAAAGCGUGGGGAGCAAACAGG
rnacentral:rRNA from 1 species